rnacentral:lncRNA from 1 species
UCACUGGAAAGCUACAGAUGUCUACUUUCCAACAAAAUUUGAAUCAACUUAAUCAGACUUCUGUAGCUUCCAAAAUCUUCAAAAUACCAUAUAGUAUUCAAUCUGUCACGGAUUUCAACUGGAUUUGAACUCUGAAUUUCUUCCACAUGUGAGAGGUCUUCAUGGUUGAACUUCUCUUUCUUUUGACAUGUGACCACUUCUAAUUAGCCAUGGACCCAUUCACGCCUUGGACUCAAUUUAAUUCAUUGUGAAGAGGCUAACCCAUUGUGAAUCAAAUCACUUAUUGCAUGGACUCAAUCUAAUUUCAGCUUGGACUC